GACGAACGCUGGCGGCGUGCUUAACACAUGCAAGUCGAACGGAAAGGCCCGGCUUUUGUUGGGUGCUCGAGUGGCGAACGGGUGAGUAACACGUGAGUAACCUGCCCUUGACUGUGUGAUAACUCCACGAAACUGGGGCUCAUACCGGAUAGGAUCUCCUGCUGCAUGUGGGUCGUUGGAGAGUGUCGGCGGUGGGGGCUGGACUCGCGGCUUAUCAGCUUGUUGGUGUGGUAGUGGCGUACCAGGGCUUUGACGGGUAGGCGGCCUGGGAGGGUUACCGGCCACAUUGGGCCUGAGGUAGGGACCAGACUCCUACGGGAGGCAGCAGUGGGGAAUAUUGCACAAUGGGCGGACGCCUGAUGCAGCAACGCCGCGUGCGGGAUGACGGCCUUCGGGUUGUAAACCGAUUUCGCCUGUGACGAAGCGUGCGUGACGGUAAUGGGUCAAAAAGCACCGGCUAACUACGUG
rnacentral:rRNA from 1 species